rnacentral:misc_RNA from 1 species
AAAAUUUAUAGGAUCCUUCAUUAUUUUGAUUAUUUUGAUGAUACGUCAGUUAUUCUGGAUGAAAUAUGCUCUACACGCUCAGCUGAAACAUUAAAUCAACUACAACCUGCAGGAGCAAACCCAACCCUCCCCGCAGCACCAUCAUAGACCACCUCCAUAGUCUUUUGCUGCACAUUCCCAUAAAUGAGCACGUCGGUUCGGUCACUAUUUCCGGCAAAGGCCAAGCACACUUGUGACACCUUAUUCGCAUAUAGAAUCCCCGACGCAUCAAUAUCCACCUCAACUCCGCCAUUGAAGAAAAAGCCAAUCUUUGGCGCACUAAUCGUACUGUAGUUGCUAAAAUCGUAGCAAGUGUCAAGU